AUUUGGUCGCGUGUAUUCCGAGAGCUAUGUUAGAUUACGAAUUAGAGAGAUAAAUAAAGCGACGCGGCGACCACGAACGUUAUAUCGAACAAAAACAGACGUGAACUCGGACACGGGAAUCGGAUCGACAGGACACCACUGAUUGGCUGGCUUGGUGUGAACCCGACCAAAGGGCUGAGUCUACGAUGAAGAGCGAUAAAUUGUGCCCCGAAAUGGAAUGCGCUCGAUACAGAGUCCGAAGACACUAUGCGCAAGUAGAAAAUAGCACAGGAUUAAUUGCAAUUUUCUACCUCGAAGAUCUCAGAACGUAUCGUUGUUAUUACGAUAAAACACCUAAUUUUCGACCAACAGAAUUUAUCAGCGGCACAAUUAAUGAAUGGAAUAAGCGAUAGUCGACGAGUGUCGUUGGCACAGCAAAUUUCACUUUUUAUUUUCGUGUUUCGAGAUAAGCAGUUGCAGAAACGCUGUCAGACAUUAAGGAAGGAAGACAGGCAGGGAAUAUCUGAAUAUGAGAUCACUCGACAUCCGGUUCCACGUUGCUGGGUGUACAGAAUGAUCUGUCAAUGGGAAGUGCGUUAUCGCAAUGCGCGUGGUGUACGCCAUCCUUUAUUUUUCAUUAGUAUCCCUCUUUCAGCUUGGUCCGCGCGUGCUUUUAAUGGAACCGACCUAAUUUAGCGAAAACGCAAUCUUACUUCGGGAACGAUAAGCCGGGGAAUCCGAUCGAGUCGGAGGAACGAGUGCGAACGCGGACAAAAGUAGCAAAUUUUGACAAACCGAAAGGAAAUUUGAACAAGUAAACGCUGCUUUUCGAUCAAAUUUAAUCUGAAUUUUUCAUUCGAUCGAGAACAGCAUUCAUCAAUUUUAAAAGUAACGACGGAUUUUACUAUUACGUUCUUCGCGAAUUAUUAAAAGUA